rnacentral:rRNA from 1 species
GACGAACGCUGGCGGUGUGCUUAACACAUGCAAGUCGAACGGUAAGGCCCUUUCGGGGGUACACGAGUGGCGAACGGGUGAGUAACACGUGAGUAACCUGCCCUCAUCUCUGGGAUAACAGUCGGAAACGGUUGCUAAUACUGGAUAUGAGCCUGCAAGGCAUCUUGUGGGUUGGAAAGAUUUUUUGGUUGGGGAUGGACUCGCGGCCUAUCAGCUUGUUGGUGAGGUAGUGGCUCACCAAGGCUUCGACGGGUAGCCGGCCUGAGAGGGCGACCGGCCACACUGGGACUGAGAUACGGCCCAAACUCCUACGGGAGGCAGCAGUGGGGAAUAUUGCACAAUGGACGGAAGUCUGAUGCAGCAACGCCGCGUGCGGGAUGACGGCCUUCGGGUUGUAAACCGCUUUCAAUUGUGACGAAGCUUUUUGUGACGGUAGCAGUAGAAGAAGCACCGGCUAACUACGUG